rnacentral:rRNA from 1 species
AUUGAACGCUGGCGACAUGCCUUACACAUGCAAGUCGAACGGCAGCACGGGUGCUUGCACCUGGUGGCGAGUGGCGAACGGGUGAGUAAUACAUCGGAACAUGUCCUGUAGUGGGGGAUAGCCCGGCGAAAGCCGGAUUAAUACCGCAUACGAUCUACGGAUGAAAGCGGGGGACCUUCGGGCCUCGCGCUAUAGGGUUGGCCGAGGGCUGAUUAGCUAGUUGGUGGGGUAAAGGCCUACCAAGGCGACGAUCAGUAGCUGGUCUGAGAGGACGACCAGCCACACGGGGACAGAGGCCCGGCGCGACCCCCCACGGGGGCACGGGUGGGGGAUUUGGGGAAAAUGGGACAAGGCCAGCUCGCGUAAUGCCGCGGGGGUAAAGGAGCCUUUGGGGUUGUAAGGCUUUUUUGCCCGGAAGAAAAUCCUGGCCCCUAAACCGGGGGGGGGAUGAGGGUACCGAAUAAAUAAGCCCCGGCUAACUACGUG